UUAUUGGGCUGACCUUAAAUCAGUGUACGAGCAGAAGCCCAAUCGCCUCGGGCUCACCACUCUGUUUCUUUUCCCGUUCCUUUUCCGCCCAGUAAUUGUUUGACGAAAUGCCCCAACCAUGCACUUCCUCGUUGCGCAUUCCCCUUCGCUGCUGCUCUCUCCCCAUUUGACCCCUUCCCUCUUCCCUCCACUCUACUUCUCGUUCAAUGAAACUUGAUUGGAUUCGAUGGUUUCUUUUACAAGUUAUUUCAUUUAUAGAAGAGCAGAGAACCCAUUGCAAAUCCUCAAAUUUCGUUGCACCUUCUUUUUCUCACCGGAAACUACAAGUUGGCAAACAUAUGGUGCCUUGAGAUAUUGUCAUUCUGGGUCAGAAUGCGGUAAAAACCCGAAAUUGACACCAAACGAGAAGCCAAACAGGGUGGGGCUUUUCUGGGACUUGGACAAUAAACCACCCAAUUCAAUCCCACCUUAUGAAGUUGCCAAUAAGCUGAGAAUAGCUGCAUCUUCCUUUGGGGUUGUUCGUUAUAUGGCUGCUUAUGCAAAUAGCCACACUUUUAGCCAUGUCCCUCAAGGUGUCCGGGAGAUUAGGAAAGAGAAGGAACUGUUGUAUCGUUUAGAGAAUAAGGGUGUCAUCAAGCCAAAUCAACCUUAUCGUUGUAAGGUUUGUGGGAGAAAGUUUCAUACUAAUGACAAGCUUGUUAACCAUUUCAAGCAACUGCAUGAGCGUGAGCACGCGAAAAGGAUGAACCAGAUAGAGUCUUCCAGGGGGAGCAGGAGGGUGAAGUUGGUGGCCAAGUAUUCUAUGAAAAUGGAGAAGUAUAAGAAGGCUGCAAGUGAUAUUCUCACUCCCAAAGUGGGGUAUGGUUUGGCGGAUGAGCUCAGACGGGCUGGUUUUUGGGUUCAAACUGUGUCAGAUAAGCCACAAGCUGCAGAUCAAGCAUUGCAAAGCCACAUCGUGGAUAUAAUGGAUCAUAGGCGGGUUGAGUGUGUGGUCCUUGUGUCUGAUGAUUCUGAUUUUGUUGACGUGAUAAAUGAAGCGAAGAUGCGAUGUCUGAAGACGGUUGUCAUUGGGGAUAUUGAUGAUGGUUUCUUGAAGAGGACUGCUGAUACUGCAUUUUCUUGGGAGGAAAUUCUGAUGGGGAAAGCUAAAAAGCAGGCUGUUUCAGUUGUGAAAAACUGGAAGGAUCGAGAUAUCUUAAAAAGGUUGGAGUGGACAUACAACCCUGAUGAGGAUAAAAAUAAUUUCAGUCUGGAUGAUGCCAUUACUGAAGCAUCUGAAGAUGAUAAUAUUGAUUGAAGAUACCUGUGAUGAAGUUGAUGAUGCCUAUAAGGAUGACAGAGGUUCUUGGUGGGAAUUAGAUUCUGAUGAUGAUGCCACAAAUGGACAGUCAGGCAAAUUAUCUGAUUUAUAUGUGAAUAGAAAACCUACAAGAUGCACAGUGAUGGGGGUAACUAUAUCACACCAAUCUGGAUACUGCACUAGUGAGCAGAGCCGAACACCCAAAUGGUUGCGAACUUUCACGCUUUACUAUCAAUUGUUAUUGGCAUGGACUCCUGUCUUGCUCCUGCAUUUCAGCAUUAAGGACCAAAAAAGAAAAUGAUUUGGAGCAUCAAAGUGAUAUUAUCACAAGCAUUGUUCUGAUGACAACAUUAAAUGAAGAAUAAUUAAUGCCAACUUACUACAGUAUUUUGAUAGUUCUAGACUCUAGUUUGUUCAUUUUUUUGCAAAUAAGCUGUCUUAAAACACUGCAUCCUUCCUGUUGUAUUCUCUUACUUUUUCUGUCAACAUCCUUACUCCAUCUUCACAUAUUUCAUAUGCAAAUUGAAGAUCAUACGUGUCACUGAGUAGCACAUUACUUGAUAUGCAAUUUGGCUAGGCCAAUUUCAAAGGUUAUUUUUAUUGUCCAUCCU